rnacentral:rRNA from 1 species
UCCUACGGGGGGCUGCAGUGGGGAAUAUUGGACAAUGGGGGGAACCCUGAUCCAGCAAUGCCGCGUGUGUGAAGAAGGCCUGAGGGUUGUAAAGCACUUUCAGUGGGGAGGAGGAUUGAUUGGUUAAGAGCUGAUUGAUUGGACGUUACCCACAGAAGAAGCACCGGCUAACUCCGUGCCAGCAGCCGCGGUAAUACGGAGGGUGCGAGCGUUAAUCGGACUUACUGGGCGUAAAGGGUGCGUAGGUGGUUGUAUAAGUUAGCUGUGAAAUCCCUGGGCUCAACCUGGGCAGGUCAGCUAAGACUGUAUGACUAGAGUAUAGGAGAGGGUAGUGGAAUUUCCGGUGUAGCGGUGAAAUGCGUAGAGAUCGGAAGGAACACCAGUGGCGAAGGCGGCUACCUGGCCUAAUACUGACACUGAGGCACGAAAGCGUGGGGAGCAAACAGGAUUAGAUACCCUUGUAGUC